CCACCUCAUUUUAUAUAUAAAUCAAUCAUACAACAGAUUAUACGAACCAUGCAAAGUGCUGAUAAACUCUCAUACAACACCGAUCCCCGAGAUAACCGGAUCAAGCGAGACACACAUGACUACAUUACCGAAAUAGAGUAUCCGAGGAACUAAGUACAACGCCACACUAGAUCUGACACCACCUACACUCGACAAUGACUCCCUCACAAGGGAAAACAACGCCAAGCAUCGCCGCUGCCGAGUCCAUGAUGCACAAAGCACGGUAGAAGCAUGUGUUUCUCUUUGUCGUCAUGAUAGGCAUAUUUUUUUUUAUAUUGUUGAUCAUUGUUUUGAUUGCUUCAGUUUUUCCUCUCUCCGUCUAGGCAUAGCUUUCAUCUUCUCUUUUUCAAAAAGGCAGGAGUCCUGC
rnacentral:lncRNA from 1 species